CGCCUUGCCAGCCCGCUCAGAAACUUAAAGGAAGUUGACGGGGCCCGCACAAGCGGUGGAGUAUGUGGUUAAUUCGAUGCAACGCGAAGAACCUUACCUGGUCUUGACAUCCCGGAGACCCUUAGGAAACUAGGGGGUGCUUCCAUCUGGAAGAAUCUGGAGACAGGUGCUGCAUGGCUGUCGUCAGCUCGUGUCGUGAGAUGUUGGGUUAAGUCCCGCAACGAGCGCAACCCUUGCCUUUAGUUGCCAGCAGUUCGGCUGGGCACUCUAAAGGGACUGCCGGUGUUAAACCGGAGGAAGGUGGGGAUGACGUCAAGUCCUCAUGGCCUUUAUGACCAGGGCUACACACGUACUACAAUGGCCGAUACAAAGGGCAGCGACACUGCGAGGUGAAGCCAAUCCCGUAAAAUCGGUCUCAGUCCGGAUUGGAGUCUGCAACUCGACUCCAUGAAGUUGGAAUCGCUAGUAAUCGUGGAUCAGCAUGCCACGGUGAAUACGUUCCCGGGCCUU
rnacentral:rRNA from 1 species